GACCUGCGGAGGUCAUUA
rnacentral:rRNA from 2 species